UACGGAGGGGGCUAGCGUUGUUCGGAAUUACUGGACGUAAAGCGUGCGCAGGCGGCGCGUUAAGACAGGUGUGAAAGCCCCGAGCUUAACUUGGGAAUUGCGCUUGUGACUGGCGUGCUGGAGUGUGGCAGAGGGAGGUGGAAUUCCACGUGUAGCAGUGAAAUGCGUAGAGAUGUGGAGGAACACCGAUGGCGAAGGCAGCCUCCUGGGCCAGCACUGACGCUCAUGCACGAAAAGCGUGGGGAGCAAACAGG
rnacentral:rRNA from 1 species